rnacentral:rRNA from 1 species
GACGAACCACACGAACGUUAUUCGGAAUUACUGGGCUUAAAGGGUGCGUAGGCUGUGCGGAAAGUUGGGUGUGAAAUACCUUAGCUUAACUAAGGAACUGCGCUCAAAACUACCGUGCUUGAGGGAGACAGGGGUAAGCGGAACUUAGGGUGGAGCGGUGAAAUGCGUUGAUAUCCUAAGGAACACCGGUGGCGAAAGCGGCUUACUGGGUCUCUUCUGACGCUGAGGCACGAAAGCUAGGGUAGCGAACAGG